UACGGGGGGGGCAAGCGUUGUUCGGAAUUACUAGGCGUAAAGGGCUCGUAGGUGGCCAACUAAGUCGGACGUGAAAUCCCUCAGCUUAACUGGGGAACUGCGUCCGAUACUGGAUGGCUUGAGUUUGGGAGAGGGAUGCGGAAUUCCAGGUGUAGCGGUGAAAUGCGUAGAUAUCUGGAGGAACACCGGUGGCGAAGGCGGCAUCCUGGACCAACACUGACACUGAGGAGCGAAAGCCAGGGGAGCAAACGGG
rnacentral:rRNA from 1 species